CAUGAAUUGUUGAUAGAAUUAACAUACACUAGCCCUGCGGUUAAGGAAUGUAAUGAAUGAUUAAUGAACCGGUAACUCAUAUGUAAAUUAGUAAUUUUCAACAGGGCGAUACAGGCCAACUUCUGCUGGAAUUGAUUAACAUCCACCGGAUCGAGCUCACAUUUGUAACGAAUGACUCGAUCAAGAAUGAGUGCUGGGUGAGGAACAGGAGCCGGCCUACGGAAGGCGCACGCGUCAUCGAUGGCAAUUACUUAACAAGAAUGAAUCCCACCCCAACAGUGCUAUGCAGUACGCCGAUGGCCACUAAAUCGUACAGAGACGAGAGAGCAGCGCUGGCACCUCUUCCUGAAGAAGUCAUUACCGAUAAAGUACACUGACUGCAGGUAACGAUUUGCUCUUAUAUUUUUGAUGUGUGUGUGUGCCUGGUAAAAGACAAGAUGUCAGAAAUCAUAAAUU